GCUGGGCCUUUUGCUGCUGGAAGCACUCAUGCCCCACUUAUUGACCCACAUCUCGGGGGGCCUGGGAGAGACGGAGCUACACCUCCCACUACCUACCCUCCCAGUUCCCAGUGCAGCCACUGACCAUCUACUCCUGCUCUGCCCUGUCCUAGUGUGCAAACAUGUCAGCACUGAAGAGGAUGAGGAACAGAAUGGAGGGCACUGACAAGGAAUGUGCUUUCGAGAAACUCAUGGAGCUCCUGGUGCUGGCCGUCCAGAAGGGUGACCGAGCCUACGUGAGCAGCCUGCUAAAAUUACAGGGCCUUCCUCUCCAUAGAAGAGGUCCUGGCGCAGGUAACCAAAAGAUAUGGAGAUAACCACAGAUUUGAUGCUGGCGAUGGAAGAGGCCAGGAAUGCUUGAAAAACUCCAUCUCCUGCCUCCUGCUGGCCUGGCUGGAAGAGCACCGGGCUGAUUUGUGCCGGCACCCAGACUUUUCCAGCCUCAAGCACCUGCUGGCCUUUGCGCAGGUCGCCCUGCCCGGGUCUCCCCUGGAGAGGCGUGCUCACAUCCUCCUUUCUCAGUUGCAGAACUCGGAGCCCCGUGAGACCAAGACAGAGGCUCCCAUGUCAGACCCAGAGUUGCAAAGAGCUGCAAUGCCCAUCCCAGAGCCAGUUCCAUCGAUGGCAGGAGACAUCAUGCCAGCUCCAGAGCAGGAGGCACCUCUGGUACAACCUCCAGGGCCACAUGCAGAAGUAGAGCCACUGUGUGAUCCAGAGCUCCAGCCACCUACCCCA